rnacentral:rRNA from 1 species
GUGGGGAAUCUUGCGCAAUGGGCGAAAGCCUGACGCAGCCAUGCCGCGUGAAUGAUGAAGGUCUUAGGAUUGUAAAAUUCUUUCACCGGGGACGAUAAUGACGGUACCCGGAGAAGAAGCUCCGGCUAACUUCGUGCCAGCAGCCGCGGUAAUACGAAGGGGGCUAGCGUUGCUCGGAAUUACUGGGCGUAAAGGGCGCGUAGGCGGACAGCUUAGUCAGAGGUGAAAGCACAGGGCUCAACCUUGGAAUUGCCUUUGAUACUGGCUGUCUUGAGUUUGGGAGAGGUGAGUGGAACUCCGAGUGUAGAGGUGAAAUUCGUAGAUAUUCGGAAGAACACCAGUGGCGAAGGCGACUCACUGACCCAAUACUGACGCUGAGGCGCGAAAGCGUGGGGAGCAAACAGGAUUAGAUACCCCAGUAGUCC